rnacentral:ncRNA from 1 species
AUAUAUGUCAUGAUAGGACUCAGUAGUGACUUAUCUCCCUGUCUUAGAGAACUGAUAUUUGGUGAAAAUCAGUACACAGAUAAGCGCGAAUUACCUCCUUGAACAUUCUUUGUGAACACAUAAGUAGCAGAGAACGGCCGGUCCGUUAUCCGAAUCGAGUGGAAGAGAGAUCUUCAAUGAGGGUGGUACCGCGUAAACCACGUCCCUUUA